GACGAACGCUGGCGGCGUGCUUAACACAUGCAAGUCGAACGAUGAAGCCUAGCUUGCUAGGUGGAUUAGUGGCGAACGGGUGAGUAAUACGUGAGUAACCUACCUUUAACUCUGGGAUAAGCCCGGGAAACUGGGUCUAAUACCGGAUACGACCAAUCUCCGCAUGGGGUGUUGGUGGAAAGCGUUAUGUAGUGGUUAUAGAUGGGCUCACGGCCUAUCAGCUUGUUGGUGAGGUAACGGCUCACCAAGGCGACGACGGGUAGCCGGCCUGAGAGGGUGACCGGCCACACUGGGACUGAGACACGGCCCAGACUCCUACGGGAGGCAGCAGUGGGGAAUAUUGCACAAUGGGCGCAAGCCUGAUGCAGCGACGCCGCGUGAGGGAUGACGGCCUUCGGGUUGUAAACCUCUGUUAGCAGGGAAGAGGAGAGAUUGACGGUACCUGCAGAGAAAGCGCCGGCUAACUACGUG
rnacentral:rRNA from 1 species